AGUUGUAUAUGAACACAGAUCAAGACUAGAAAAAUCUUUACAGAAGGAAAGACUUGAGCACAAGAAAGCAAAAGAAGAUUUUCUGGUUUAUAAAUUAGAAGCACAAGAAACACUAAAUAAAGGAAGGCAAGAUUCCAACAGCCGAUACAGUGCGUUAAAUGUACAACAUCAGAUGUUGAAAGUGAGUAUUAGAUAAAAUAUGGCC